rnacentral:rRNA from 1 species
UAGGGAAUUUUCGGCAAUGGACGAAAGUCUGAUCGAGCAACGCCGCUUGAGUGAAGAAGGUUUUCGGAUCGUAAAACUCUGUUGUUAGAGAAGAACAAGGACGUUAGUAACUGAACGUCCUCUGACGGUAUCUAACUAGAAAGCCACGGCUAACUACGUGCCAGCAGCCGCGGCAAUACGUAGGUGGCAAGCGUUGUCCGGAUUUAUUGGGCGAAAAGCGAGCGCAGGCGGUUUCUUAAGUCUGAUGUGUAAGCCCCCGGCUCAACCGGGGAGGGUCAUUGGAAGCUGGGAGACUUGAGUGCAGAAGAGGUGAGUGGAAUUCCAUGUGUAGCGGUGAAAUGCGUAGAUGUAUGGAGGAACACCAGUGGCGAAGGAGGCUCUCUGGUCUGUAACUAACGCUGAGGCUCGAAAGCGUGGGGAGCAAACAGG